rnacentral:lncRNA from 1 species
GGUUCCCCGUGGAUCUAGCGUCGCAGGAGUGUUCUGAACUGUGUGUAUCAGAAGAGAAACUGAAUCGUUUUAUCCUGUCUGUAUUCUUACAGAGCUGGACUUUACCUUUUCUGCAGAGGGCCAUGUGGCUGCCCAGCUCAUCUUACAAGAGGACAAGGGGAGCAGCCUGAAGUUCUAGGUCUGGAAGCCCAGGGUAGAGGACAGCCGGGUGAGGUGAGGCCUUGGUCCUGGCUGUCUCCUCUUAACAUGGAGUAUUGAAGAAGGGUGUGCAAAGUUUUUCUUUUUUUUGGUACCAGGGAUUGAACUCAGGGGCACUCGACCAUUAAGCCACAUCCCCAGCCCUAUUUUGUAUUUAUUUAAAAUGAGACAGGGUCUCAUUGAGUUGCUUAGUGCCUGAGCAACUGAGGCUGGCUUUGAACUCGUGAUCCUCUUGCCUCAACCUCCCAAGCUGCUGUAAUUACAGGAAUGUGCCGCCACACCGGCUAAAAUUUUUGUGAAACACAAAAUUCUGGGCAUUAGGGUAGUCUGAAAGAAAAAGUAGUCCUGCUUUUUGUAAAUAUAAAAGCCAACACUACAUGUAUAUGAAGUAUAGAGGUAUCUGUCCUGUCCAGUGUGGAGGGAGGAAGUGAGGAUGACUAAAUCUUUCUUACUCAUCCUGCCUUGUGUCCUUGUAUCACUACUAACAAUGAACUCAAUUCUUUCCUAUUUGAAACAAGAUAAAAAAAAAAAAACAUUAACUUCUGUACACAGGUCUGGGACAGUACUGCCUGCGUCUUACUUUCUUACCUGACUCUCUGCACCAAGUCCCUCACCCUCCCUGGGGGACUGGUUCCAGCCCUUGGUCUAGAUAUAAAAUUGCAGAAGUAAUAGCUUUUGGGGGGGAAGUACUGGGAAUUGAACCCAGGGGUGCUUUACCACUGAGCCACAUCCCUAGCUGCUUUUAUUUUUUUGAGACAGGCCAUCGCUAAGUUGCUCAGGCUGGACUGGAACUUUCGAUCCUCCUACUUUAGCCCUCUGAGCUGCUGGGAUUAUAGGCUGUGGCACUGCAACUGGCAAGAAUAGCUUUUGCAUAGAACCUGCAUACAUCAUCCCAUGUUAUCUAUCUAUCUAUCUAUCUUUAUUUGUUUAUUUAUUUAUAUUCACCAGGGAUUGAACCCAGGGGAGCUUUGCCACUGAGCUGCAUCCCAACCCCACUUUAUAUUUGAUUUAGAGACAGGGUAUUAGGGCUGAGUUGCUUAGCCCUCGCUAAGCUGCUGAGGUUGGCUUUGAACUCACAAUCCUGUUGCCUCAGCAUCCUGAGCCGCUGGGAUUACAGGAGUGUGUCACCAUGCCUGGCUCAUCCUGUAUAUUUUAAAUCAUUUCUAGAUGAUGGCCACCAGUCGUUUGGACAUGGUGAGCUGGGGACAGAGCAAGUGAGGGUCAGCAUCACAAUCUUCCAGGUGCAGUCGUUGUGGAGAGAUCUUUCUGGCCACAGCCGUGUCCUCCUUUCUGGAGGACCUGGGCUCCCAGGUGGCCAGGCAGCUCCACCUUCUCCCUUCUGUCCCUCCUACCUUCUGGGAAGGCUUCUCUGCCCUCCCCCAGCCCCAGGUUCCCAGUCUGCAGAGGCUGCCUGGGCCACCCAUGGAGCCCUGGCUCCCAGGUCCCAAGGCAGAGGCCUCAUGCAGCCAGGUUAGUUUGACCCAGGAGGGGCCGAG